UCCUUUCUUGGAGGUUAGGUGAAGAGCAACAACAGGAUUGAAUCCUGUUCAGAAUGGGCCAAAAGGAAAAAUAGAUUAUCUGUCCCCUAGAAAGUUUGCCAGGAUAUUAAUGUGCACUGGCUCUUCCCAUAGCCCUGCACAAGAGCAGAGUACAGAUUUCAGUGAUCCCAUUUCACCAACUUUCUCAUAUUCUCCCAUUGCAGCAUAUCAGAAGACACUUGUGAGGAACUGCUCAUGGCAUCUGUCUUACAUUUGUGGUUCUCAGGCUAAAAUAGAUUGAGACAAGACCAAAUCACGUCUGUUAAUGAAUCUAGGUAUUUUCAACCCAGGACCAGUAUCUUGUCACAAAAAGCAGCUUUCCUUUAUUUAGUUCCUUCCUUCCCUGCAUUUUAAAUCAGCCUUUCCCUCUUCAAUUAGUAUAAUAGCAGCCAGGUAUCAGGGUAGAGGGAGAAAAGGGACCCCAUGAAACUUCUUCUCCUCUCCUACCAGCUGCCUGGGUUUGCCCAGGACAAAAGUAUGAGAGCUGGUACCUGGGGAUUGCCCUGCCUUUUCUUACAUCCUUCUAUGGAUACAUCUGGCUCCAAGCAGCAGGAAAUGCUGAAAGGGACAGCAAGCUCCAUACUACUCAGAUAAAUUUUGCUUCUCCAGGGUGUGUGUGGAAUGGAGAGCUUCCGUCCCUAAAGCCAGAGCUCCUUCCCCAUGGGAUAAGUAGGAACCACAAAGCACUCUGACCAUGAGCAAAGACUGACUUGUCUAUUUUUGCAUGCUGUCUGAGCUGUGCAGUGUCCCUUUACAGUUAUAACCUCCAAGAACAUCUCAGAAGGGGUGUGGAGAUAGUCUAUUCUUCAGUCACUUAAUAUUUUGCUGUAUUUUUUUUCAACCCACAGGUGACACAAUGCCUACGCUACACAGUGCUCUUCCCCGCCCUCCAUCCCCCAGCAAAGGGCUGCCUAUAGAAGCUGCACAGAGCAAUGAGGGGAAGGGCUGAAGAUGCCGAGAGAUGAUGCAAGUGUGCAUUAUGGUCCUGAAAUGUCAUUUGGGUGCAUGAAACAGGGAGAAAUACCUGGAAGGAGCAUCCAGCUGCAGUUUCUUUUCACUUCUUUUUCCAGCUUUCGGCUGAACUGCAAAGCCGAGGGAGCCUGCUAAGAGCCUGGGCCUGUCCAUUUGUCUCUCCCCCUACUUCUCUGUCCCUAACCCCCCUCCCUCUCCCCUCCCGCAGCUCCGGAGGGUGGAGGUGCGAUUCGCUAUGCCAGUUUUUUAUUUCCAGCAUGCUUGACAGGCUGGGCGAGGAAGGCGUUAAUGUUUUCUGACAGGCCCCCUCUAAUUGUUGGAGCUUUUCUUCUCUGCCUUUUCUGUGAAAUUCUGACUUAGGCGAGCAGCAUAACAAAAUGCUCUGGCAUUGAAAUGUGCGCUUGCACUACACUGGGCUCGGGGAAACAGCAUUAUUCAUGAAGAUUUUCAGCUGUUUUUGUCUUUUAACUAACCUUUGAGUUUGAUCAGAGGCUAGCCGGGCUCCCUUUCUCAAAAGGCGGUCUUGGCAACCCGACAAUGGAGCCAAACUGUUUUCCCUGUUAAAGAGAUAACUAUGCCGUUGAGUUGGUACAUGGGGGAAAUUAAUCUUCAGGCGCAUACAAAUGAUAGGUUUACCUCGGUCUGCAAUCGCCUGCAUGGGAUUAUUAAUAGGACGCGGGUAAGGAGCAGGAAAAAUUCAGUCUGGGGCAGGGAACUUGGGGGAAGAAGAA